UACGGGGGGGGCAAGCGUUGUUCGGAAUUACUGGGCGUAAAGGGCGCGUAGGCGGUUGGAUAAGUCAGCUGUGAAAACCACGAGCUUAACUCGUGGCCUGCAGUUGAGACUGUCUGGCUUGAGUGUGGGAGAGGAGAGUGGAAUUCCUGGUAUAGCGGUGAAAUGCGUAGAUAUCAGGAGGAACACCGGUGGCGAAGGCGGCUCUCUGGACCACAACUGACGCUGAGGCGCGAAAGCUAGGGGAGCAAACAGG
rnacentral:rRNA from 1 species